AUUACAAUGAAUCCACCGUUAUUACAAUACAAUGAAUCUGCCAUGAUUACAAUAAAAUACAAUGAAUUCGCCGUGAUUACAAUACAAUGAAUCCGUCAUGAUUACAAUAAACUACAAUGAAUCCGCCAUGAUUACAAUACAAUGAAUCCGCCAUGAUUACAAUAAAAUACAAUAAAUCCGCCGUGAUUACAAUAAAAUACAUACAAUGAAUCCGCCAUGGUUACAAUGAAUGCGC